rnacentral:rRNA from 1 species
UACGUAGGGGGCAAGCGUUGUCCGGAAUUAUUGGGCGUAAAGAGCGUGUAGGCGGUCCGGUAAGUCCGCUGUGAAAGUCGGGGGGCUCAACCCUCGAAUGCCGGUGGAUACUGUUGGGCUCGAGUCCGGAAGAGGCGAGUGGAAUUCCCGGUGUAGCGGUGAAAUGCGCAGAUAUCGGGAGGAACACCAAUGGCGAAGGCAGCUCGCUGGGACGUGACUGACGCUGAGACGCGAAAGCGUGGGGAGCAAACAGG